GGGGAAGGGUAGCUUGCUACCUGACCUAGCGGCGGACGGGUGAGUAAUGCUUAGGAAUCUGCCUAUUAGUGGGGGACAACAUUCCGAAAGGAAUGCUAAUACCGCAUACGCCCUACGGGGGAAAGCAGGGGAUCUUCGGACCUUGCGCUAAUAGAUGAGCCUAAGUCAGAUUAGCUAGUUGGGGGGGUAAAGGCCUACCAAGGCGACGAUCUGUAGCGGGUCUGAGAGGAUGAUCCGCCACACUGGGACUGAGACACGGCCCAGACUCCUACGGGAGGCAGCAGUGGGGAAUAUUGGACAAUGGGCGAAAGCCUGAUCCAGCCAUGCCGCGUGUGUGAAGAAGGCCUUUUGGUUGUAAAGCACUUUAAGCGAGGAGGAGGCUACUGAGAUUAAUACUCUUGGAUAGUGGACGUUACUCGCAGAAUAAGCACCGGCUAACUCUGUGCCAGCAGCCCGCGGGAAUACAGAGGGUGCGAGCGUCAAUCGGAUUUACUGGGCGU
rnacentral:rRNA from 1 species